CGGGGUGCAGCAGGCGAGAAACCUUUGCCAUGCGCGAAAGCGUGACAGUGGAAUUCCGAGAGGUAGGGGGGUUUACCUCCCUAUCUGUUGACCAAUCCAAACAAUUGGCAGAAUAAGAUCUGGGUAAGACCAGUGCCAGCCGCCGCGGUAAUACUGGCAGAGCAAGUGGUAUCCACGAAUAUUGGGUCUAAAGAAUCCGUAGCGGGCCUGUUAAGUCCACUGUGAAAUCUGGCGGCUCAACCGUCAGGCGUGCAGUGGAUACUGGCAGGCUUUGGAGUGGUGGAGGUCGGGAGUACUCAUGGGGUAACGGUAAAAUGUUGUAAUCCUGUGAGGACUACCAGUGGGGAAGGCGCCCGACCAAAACACGUCCGACCGUGAGGGACGAAGGCUAGGAGAACGAAUCGGAUUAGAUACCCGAGUAGCCCUAGCAGUAAAUUAUGCAGACUGUGGUGUUGCGUCGUCUUCGAGUCGGCGCAGUGCAGUAGGGGAAGUCUGAAGUCUGCCCCCUGGGGAGGUC
rnacentral:rRNA from 1 species